AUUGGGGAAAUGAGGGCUCAUGUCAGGUGAGGUGUCAGCCUGUCAGCCACAUAUAUCAGCUGAUAUUUGUUGUAAACAAUGAAUUUGAAUGCAUAUAAAAAUAAUGUUGUUAAUUAGGCACUAACAAUUUAAGCUAUAAAAUUAGUCUGUAAUAAAAGAAGGCCUAAAAAUGUCGAAUGCCGCAUCAGAACAUUGCAAGUUUUUCGUGCAUCGUAAAAAGCGAUAUUGCAAAAUGCUGGUGAAAUUAGGUCAAGAAUUUUGUGGAGAGCAUCAGAAACCCUUAGAAAGCGGUGACAAUGAGACCGCUAUACGAAUAACUUGUCCCUUAGAUCGAAAACAUACUGUUUAUGCCCACAAAUUAAGUAAACACUUGAAAAUAUGCAACGCACGCCAAACUGAUCCCGAACCGUUUAUCCAAAAGGACAUUAAUGCUGGAAAAUCGGAAGUACCAGCUGCACUUGCUUCAAGUGAUUCUUUUCGAAUGCUUUGUACGUUUCCAAAAGACCAAAUAACUGCUGUCAUAGAAAAAGUUAAUAACAUCUAUGAAAAAUAUUUAAAAAUUUCCGACAAAAAGAUGUCAUUUCCUUUAGUGGAAGCUGAAAUGGCCAAACCAGAAUAUGGAGAUAAAGCAAAAAAGCAUUUCAAACAAGCGUCUUCAAUUCUAGGUUUAAUGAAAGAAAAUGGCUUGUUUAGGGACAAAACUUGCUACAUAGAGUUUGGAGCUGGGAGAGGCCAGUUAAGCUGCUGGAUUGCUGAGGCAACUGAGUCGCUAGAAAAAUGCCAAUUAUUGUUAGUAGAAAGAGCCUCUCCGAAGCAUAAAAGAGAUAAUAAACUUGCAAAAACUUCAGACCGAAUUCAGAGAAUUAGAGCGGAUAUAGCCGAUUUAGUUCUGGAUAAAUUAAAUUUUAUUGAGAAAAGCCAACAUGUCGUGGGAGUUACCAAACAUUUAUGUGGCGCUGCCACAGACUUAACUAUUAGGUGCUUGACUAACCCUGAAGUGAACAAAGAUAAAAUCGAUGCUGCAGUGCUAACUUUUUGUUGUCACCACCGUUGUCUUUGGACUUCUUACACUGGAAAGACGUUUCUUCAGGAAAACGAUUUAAGCAUAGACGACUUUAAUAUUAUAUGUGGACUAUCAAGCUGGGCUACAUGUGGAUCGGGUUACAGCAGGGAAUUUAGGGAAAAGCACAAACAUGAAAACUACCAGGACAAUAUAGAUAUGGAAACAAAUGGUCUGAGCAGGGAUGAAAGAGAAAUCAUAGGGCAAAGAUGCAAGAACGUUCUUAAUUGGGGACGGUUAAGGUAUUUGGAAGCCAACAAUUUCAAAUGUUCACUACAUUAUUAUGUCGACAAAGAUAUUACGUUAGAAAAUGUAUGCAUUGUUGCAUUGAAACAGCAUAAAAUAGUAGCGAGUUAAACUCGAAUCAUUUAUUCCGUCGUAUUCAAUUCAGAUACAUAUUCCCAGGUAGUAUUUUGGUCUAGAUGACGUCCAAAUGACGACUUUUUUGGUCUUAUAUUGGUUCAUGGACCAAUAAGUUAGACGUCCAACUGACGUAAAAUAUUUAAGAAACACCGUGUGCGUCGACAUAUCGAUUACUUUCUCAUCUCUAGUCACAUGGCAGUCCUGCAUUUGAAGUACGUCAAAAUUGAUUUUCAGUUGGCUGACUGUUAAUAAAUCUGUCGAACUGUUGUUACGAUUACGAAACAGUGCUUCAUUUGCAAAAGAAUAUUUACAUAA